rnacentral:rRNA from 1 species
GACGUAGGGGGCCAGCGUUGUUCGGAAUUACUGGGUGUAAAGGGUUCGUAGGCGGUGCGGCAAGUUGGGAGUGAAAUCUCUGGGCUUAACCCAGAGGCUGCUUCCAAAACUGCUGUGCUUGAGUGUGGGAGAGGCGCGUGGAAUUGCAGGUGUAGCGGUGAAAUGCGCAGAUAUCAGGAGGAACACCGGUGGCGAAGGCGGGACUCUGGGCCGAUACUGACGCUGAGGAGCGAAAGCGUGGGGAGCAAACAGG